rnacentral:rRNA from 1 species
UACGGAGGGGGCGAGCGUUAUUCGGAAUUAUUGGGCGUAAAGGGCGCGUAGGCGGCUAUUCAAGUCAAAGGUGAAAUCCCUCGGCUCAACUGAGGAACUGCCUUUGAAACUGAAUGGCUUGAGUCCGGGAGGGGGUAGCGGAAUUCCCAGUGUAGCGGUGAAAUGCGUAGAUAUUGGGAGGAACACCAGUGGCGAAGGCGGCUACCUGGACCGGAACUGACGCUGAUGCGCGAAAGCGUGGGUAGCAAACAGG